rnacentral:lncRNA from 1 species
GCCCCGGCGCGGGAGGGCGAACCGGCGCGAGAGAGCGAGCGCGCGCGCGCCCCCGCCACAGCCGCCACCGCCCACAACCUCCGCCCCCGGCCGGCGGCGCACGCGCAAGGGAGCGGGCGGACGGGCGCGCGCACGCCGCAGGGGCGGGGAUGGGCCCUGGAAGGCGUGGCCCCUCCCCUAGCCCGCCUUCCCACGCGGUCUCUGGGCUGGUUGAGCUGCGCCGCUGCAGGUAGUGCUGAGUUGCUCCAGUGCCACUGGGUUAGGGUCUCCACAACCGAGCUGGUCUCAGCAAGUGGUGUCCAUACAUGGGGCUCGAACCUGGGUUGAAGGGUCGCCAGAGCGACGGUUGGAGAACGUGGAACUAAGCUGGAGGACACCUGAGUACUCUUAAGCAAUCCCCGUGAUUGGAGAGGAUGAAGGCCCUGAGGUCCAAGAACAUGGAAACCUGACAGUGGACGCCAACAGCUGUGGAGAGAAGCCGGGCGACAGCUGUGGAGAGAAGCCGGGCGAUAUGCUCACGCUUCCGUGUGCCCAGCAAUCCUGCUUUAUCUUUUUAAAUAAAGGUGAUUCCUGAUAA